UUGCUGGGUGGAUCAGUGGCGAACGGGUGAGUAACACGUGAGCAACCUGCCCCGGACUCUGGGAUAAGCGCUGGAAACGGCGUCUAAUACUGGAUAUGAGCUGCGAAGGCAUCUUCAGCGGUUGGAAAGAUUUUUCGGUUCGGGAUGGGCUCGCGGCCUAUCAGCUUGUUGGUGAGGUAAUGGCUCACCAAGGCGUCGACGGGUAGCCGGCCUGAGAGGGUGACCGGCCACACUGGGACUGAGACACGGCCCAGACUCCUACGGGAGGCAGCAGUGGGGAAUAUUGCACAAUGGGCGCAAGCCUGAUGCAGCAACGCCGCGUGAGGGAUGACGGCCUUCGGGUUGUAAACCUCUUUUAGCAAGGAAGAAGCGAAAGUGACGGUACUUGCAGAAAAAGCGCCGGCUAACUACGUGCCAGCAGCCGCGGUAAUACGUAGGGCGCAAGCGUUAUCCGGAAUUAUUGGGCGUAAAGAGCUCGUAGGCGGUUUGUCGCGUCUGCUGUGAAAACCCGAGGCUCAACCUCGGGCCUGCAGUGGGUACGGGCAGACUAGAGUGCGGUAGGGGAGAUUGGAAUUCCUGGUGUAGCGGUGGAAUGCGCAGAUAUCAGGAGGAACACCGAUGGCGAAGGCAGAUCUCUGGGCCGUAACUGACGCUGAGGAGCGAAAGGGUGGGGAGCAAACAGGCUUAGAUACCCUGGUAG
rnacentral:rRNA from 1 species